AUGUUUUUGUUUACUUCAUUUUAUUGGGUUUGUUUUUGUUGGAAUGAAAUUGAUGGAAAGUUUGGAACUUUGAUUUUCAGAUGUUGUUAUUGCAGACUAGCUGAUUCCAUAGAUUACUCUUUUGUUGCCUUUCUUGUCUGUUAUCAACCAAAGUAA